GGAGUUAGCCGGUGCUUCUUCUGUGAGUGAUGUCCUUCCUGCCGGCUAUUAACCCGCAGGCCUUCUUCCUCACUGAAAGUGCUUUACAACCCGAAGGCCUUCUUCACACACGCGGCAUGGCUGGAUCAGGGUUGCCCCCAUUGUCCAAUAUUCCCCACUGCUGCCUCCCGUAGGAGUCUGGGCCGUGUCUCAGUCCCAGUGUGGCUGAUCAUCCUCUCAGACCAGCUACGGAUCGUCGCCUUGGUGAGCCGUUACCUCACCAACCAGCUAAUCCGACAUAGGCUCAUCCGAUAGCGCGAGGCCCGAAGGUCCCCCGCUUUCCCCCGUAGGGCGUAUGCGGUAUUAGCCUGGGUUUCCCCAGGUUAUCCCCCACUACCGGGGCAGAUUCCUAUGCAUUACUCACCCGUCCGCCGCUCGCCACCAGGGAGCAAGCUCCCCGUGCUGCCGCUCGACUUGCAUGUGUAGCUGCCGCCAGCGUCAUCUGAGCGAGAUACAACUCUGA
rnacentral:rRNA from 1 species